rnacentral:rRNA from 1 species
CAGGCCUAACACAUGCAAGUCGAGGGGCAUCAUGAAGGAAGCUUGCUUCCUUUGAUGGCGACCGGCGCACGGGUGAGUAACGCGUAUCCAACCUUCCCCUCAGUAGGGCAUAGCCCGUAGAAAUGCGGAUUAAUACCCUAUGUGGUCCGAUGAGGACAUCUGAGCUGGACGAAAGGUUUACCGCUGAGGGAUGGGGAUGCGUCUGAUUAGGUAGUCGGCGGGGUAACGGCCCACCGAGCCAUCGAUCAGUAGGGGUUCUGAGAGGAAGGUCCCCCACACUGGUACUGAGACACGGACCAGACUCCUACGGGAGGCAGCAGUGAGGAAUAUUGGUCAAUGGGCGAGAGCCUGAACCAGCCAAGUAGCGUGCAGGAUGACGGCCCUACGGGUUGUAAACUGCUUUUAUGCGGGGAUAAAGUGAGGGACUUGUCCCUUUUUGCAGGUACCGCAUGAAUAAGGACCGGCUAAUUCCGUGCCAGCAGCCGCGGUAAUACGGAAGGUCCUGGCGUUAUCCGGAUUUAUUGGGUUUAAAGGGAGCGCAGGCCGGUGUGUAAGCGUGACGUCAAAUACAGCCGCUCAACGGUUGUCCGCGUCGCGAACUGCAUGCCUUGAGUACGCUGCAAGUGGGCGGAAUUCGUGGUGUAGCGGUGAAAUGCUUAGAUAUCACGAGGAACUCCGAUUGCGAAGGCAGCGUGCCGUAGCGUUACUGACGCUGAAGCUCGAAGGUGCGGGUAUCGAACAGGAUUAGAUACCCUGGUAGUCCGCACGGUAAACGAUGGAUGCCCGCUGUCCGGCCUUUGUGCCGGGUGGCCAAGCGAAAGCGUUAAGCAUCCCACCUGGGGAGUACGCCGGCAACGGUGAAACUCAAAGGAAUUGACGGGGGCCCGCACAAGCGGAGGAACAUGUGGUUUAAUUCGAUGAUACGCGAGGAACCUUACCCGGGCUUGAACUGCCGGUGCCGGACCUGGAGACAGGCCCAUCCCUUCGGGGCGCUGGUGGAGGUGCUGCAUGGUUGUCGUCAGCUCGUGCCGUGAGGUGUCGGCUUAAGUGCCAUAACGAGCGCAACCCCUCUCCGUAGUUGCCAUCGGGUUAAGCCGGGCACUCUGCGGACACUGCCACCGCAAGGUGUGAGGAAGGUGGGGACGACGUCAAAUCAGCACGGCCCUUACGUCCGGGGCUACACACGUGUUACAAUGGGCCGUACAGAGAGCCGGCGCCCCGCAAGGUGCGUCCAAUCCCCAAAACGGUCCUCAGUUCGGACUGGGGUCUGCAACCCGACCCCACGAAGCUGGAUUCGCUAGUAAUCGCGCAUCAGCCAUGGCGCGGUGAAUACGUUCCCGG